rnacentral:tRNA from 1 species
CGAGUAAUGAUGUUCAAUGGUAGCAUGAUAGCUUUGGGAGCUAUUCGAGCCAGUUCGAGUCUGGCUUACUCGA